UACGUAGGGUCCGAGCGUUAAUCGGAAUUACUGGGCGUAAAGCGUGCGCAGGCGGUUUUGUAAGCCAGAUGUGAAAGCCCCGGGCUUAACCUGGGAAUGGCAUUUGGGACUGCAAGGCUGGAGUACGGCAGAGGGAGGUGGAAUUCCUGGUGUAGCAGUGAAAUGCGUAGAUAUCUGGAGGAACACCGAUGGCGAAGGCAGCCCCCUGGGCUAACACUGACGCUGAUGCACGAAAGCGUGGGGAGCAAACAGG
rnacentral:rRNA from 1 species